rnacentral:rRNA from 1 species
GGUGAACGCUGGCGGCGUGCUUAAGACAUGCAAGUCGAACGGCAGUCUUCGGACUGUAGUGGCGCACGGGUGAGUAACGCGUAACUGACCUACCCCAAAGUCGCGGAUAACGAUUCGAAAGAAUCGCUAAUACGUGAUGUGCUGUCAGAUUGUGUUCUGCCAGUAAAGAUUGAUUGCUUUGGGAUGGGGUUGCGGUCCAUCAUCUAGUUGGUGGGGUAAAGGCCCACCAAAACGACGACGGAUAGCCGGCCUGAGAGGGUGGCCGGCCACCGGGGCACUGAGACGCGGGUCCGACUGCUACUGGGGGCAGCAGUUAGGAAUCUUCCACAAUGGGCGAAAGCGUGAUGGAGCGACGCCGCGUGAGGGAUGAAGGUCUUCGGAUCGUAAACCUAUGAAUCAGGGACGAAAGACACUUCGGUGGGAUGACGGUACCUGAGUAAUAGCACCGGCUAACUCCGUGCCAACAGCCGCAGUAAUAC